rnacentral:antisense_RNA from 1 species
GAUCUCGCUUUAUUGAAAAAUGGUCGGUUGCGUUUGUCCAGCUUGAUUCCAGCUCUUGAUUCGUAAUUUUGUCAAUCGUGGUUUUCCAUUCUGUUUCUUCUUUUGUUCCCGGAGUCCGAAAAGACUGCAAAGGACGAAAUGAUGAAUAAAUGACGUACAAAUGGUCGGCAGACAUCGUUUGAGCACUAAAGAUUUGUUCAUUA